rnacentral:rRNA from 1 species
CGCUCAUGGACGAAAGCCAGGGGAGCGAAAGGGAUUAGAUACCCCUGUAGUCCUGGCCGUAAACGAUGAACACUAGGUGUCGGGGGAAUCGACCCCCUCGGUGUCGUAGCCAACGCGUUAAGUGUUCCGCCUGGGGAGUACGCACGCAAGUGUGAAACUCAAAGGAAUUGACGGGGGCCCGCACAAGCGGUGGAGUAUGUGGUUUAAUUCGAUGCAACGCGAAGAACCUUACCAGGGUUUGACAUCCUGCGAAUCUCUUGGAAACAGGAGAGUGCCUUCGGGAACGCAGUGACAGGUGGUGCAUGGCUGUCGUCAGCUCGUGUCGUGAGAUGUUGGGUUAAGUCCCGCAACGAGCGCAACCCACGUCUUUAGUUGCCAGCAUUUAGUUGGGCACUCUAGAGAGACUGCCGGUGAUAAACCGGAGGAAGGUGUGGAUGACGUCAAGUCAUCAUGCCCCUUACAUCCUGGGCUACACACGUACUACAAUGCUACGGACAAAGGGCAGCAAGUUCGCGAGGACAAGCAAAUCCCAUAAACCGUGGCUCAGUUCAGAUCGUAGGCUGCAACUCGCCUACGUGAAGGCGGAAUCGCUAGUAAUCGCAGGUCAGCAUACUGCGGUGAAUACGUUCCCGGGCCCU